rnacentral:rRNA from 1 species
UACAGAGGUCUCAAGCGUUGUUCGGAUUCAUUGGGCGUAAAGGGUGCGUAGGCGGCGCGGUAAGUCGGGUGUGAAAUCUUGGAGCUUAACUCCGAAACUGCAUUCGAUACUGCCGUGCUUGAGGACUGGAGAGGAGACUGGAAUUUACGGUGUAGCGGUGAAAUGCGUAGAUAUCGUAAGGAAGACCAGUGGCGAAGGCGGGUCACUGGCCCGGUACUGACGCUGGAGGCGACGAAAGCGUGGGGAGCAAACAGG